ACUCCUACGGGAGGCAGCAGUGGGGAAUAUUGCACAAUGGGCGCAAGCCUGAUGCAGCCAUGCCGCGUGUAUGAAGAAGGCCUUCGGGUUGUAAAGUACUUUCAGCAGUGAGGAAGGUGGAGUCGUUAAUAGCGGCCUCAUUUGACGUUAGCUGCAGAAGAAGCACCGGCUAACUCCGUGCCAGCAGCCGCGGUAAUACGGAGGGUGCGAGCGUUAAUCGGAAUUACUGGGCGUAAAGCGCAUGCAGGUGGUUUGUUAAGUCAGAUGUGAAAGCCCGGGGCUCAACCUCGGAAUUGCAUUUGAAACUGGCAGACUAGAGUACUGUAGAGGGGGGUAGAAUUUCAGGUGUAGCGGUGAAAUGCGUAGAGAUCUGAAGGAAUACCGGUGGCGAAGGCGGCCCCCUGGACAGAUACUGACACUCAGAUGCGAAAGCGUGGGGAGCAAACAGGAUUAGAUACCCUGGUAGG
rnacentral:rRNA from 1 species